rnacentral:lncRNA from 1 species
AUGACAGUUGUGACCUAUGAGUCAGAUGACAACUGUGAAAAUGCGCUGACAGACCUGAAAGCUAACAGAGAUUUUGUUGAAAGAAGAUACCACACAUGUACAAGAAGUAUGACGGAUGAAAAAGAGAUAAUAGAUCUGUUAGAAAAAAUAGAUGUUAUGGUCUCUGAAAAUAAACCAGAAUACUACAGUGGAAGGAUGUUUGAUGAAAAUAAAGAGCAGGAAGAAAACCUGGAUCAGAAUGACUCCUCUGAGCAAAAUCAAACAGCAAAUGAAGAGGAGGAGGAGGGUGCAGCUAAAACAGAGUCUAAGCCGGUGAAUAAACCUGCUGAUGUUGAACAAUCAGAAAAGAAAAAUGACAGCAAAACACUAGGAGGUGAGUCUAAAAUCUAAUCUGUAAUACCUACUCAAACCAGUGAGGAUUGUACCAGUUGUUAAUAAUUACAUUUACAAUCCAAAGAUCAAAAACAAUUAAAAUUUCAGAAUAAUUUAAACUUGGUGAACAUAAAAGAAAUGUAAAGAUUCAGUAGCACACUCUGGUUCAUUGUUGUCCUUCAGGUGACCUUGAUAUGGAGAUGAUUGGAGAAAAGGA